CUCCGCCUGGGGACUACGGUCGCAAGAUUAAAACUCAAAGGAAUUGACGGGGACCCGCACAAGCGGUGGAGCAUGUGGUUUAAUUCGAUGCAACGCGAAAAACCUUACCACUCCUUGACAUGGAAAUUAUACCUAUUCGAAGGGAUAGGGUCGGUUCGGCCGGGUUUCACACAGGUGUUGCAUGGCUGUCGUCAGCUCGUGUCGUGAGAUGUUGGGUUAAGUCCCGCAACGAGCGCAACCCUCAUCCUUAGUUACCAUCAGGUAAUGCUGGGGACUUUAAGGAGACUGCCAGUGAUAAACUGGAGGAAGGUGGGGAUGAUGUCAAGUCAUCAUGGCCCUUAUGGAGUGGGCUACACACGUGCUACAAUGGUGGCUACAAUGGGCUGCAAAGUCGCGAGGCUAAGCCAAUCCCUUAAAAGCCAUCUCAGUUCGGAUUGUACUCUGCAACUCGAGUGCAUGAAGUUGGAAUCGCUAGUAAUCGUGGAUCAGCACGCCACGGUGAAUACGUUCUCGGGUCUUGUACACACUGCCCGUCACGCCAUGGGAAUUGGUUUCACUCGAAGCUAACGACCUAACCGCAAGGGGGGAGUUAUUUAAAGUGGGAUCGGUGACUGGGGUG
rnacentral:rRNA from 1 species